CAUGGCGAGUUUGAUCCUGGCUCAGAGCGAACGCUGGCGGCGUACUUAACACAUGCAAGUCGAACGGGGAUCAUCGGGUUAGCAAUAAUUCGGUGGUCCUAGUGGCGCACGGGUGAGUAACACGUGGGUAACCUGCCCUGGAGACCGGGAUACCCCCUCGAAAGGGGGGCUAAUACCGGAUACGUUCCUCGGAUCGGAAGAUCUGAGGAGGAAAGGUGGCGCAAGCUGCCGCUCUUGGAGGGGCUCGCGGCCUAUCAGCUAGUUGGCGGGGUAAUGGCCCACCAAGGCUAUGACGGGUAGCUGGUCUGAGAGGACGACCAGCCACACGGGGACUGAGACACGGCCCCGACUCCUACGGGAGGCAGCAGUGGGGAAUUUUCCGCAAUGGGCGAAAGCCUGACGGAGUGACGCCGCGUGUGGGACGAAGGCCUUCGGGUCGUAAACCACUGUCAGUGGGAAAGAUGGGUGUCGGCGCGAUAACCGCCGGCAUCUGACGGUACCUGCAGAGGAAGCCCCGGCUAACUCUGUGCCAGCAGCCGCGGUAAGACAGAGGGGGCAAGCGUUGCUCGGAAUUACUGGGCGUAAAGGGCGCGUAGGCGGGAUGGCAAGUCGGUCGUGAAAUCCCUCGGCUCA
rnacentral:rRNA from 1 species